rnacentral:rRNA from 1 species
UCCUACGGGAGGCAGCAGUAAGGAAUAUUGGUCAAUGGUCGGGAGACUGAACCAGCCAAGCCGCGUGAGGGAUGAAGGUACAGAGUAUCGUAAACCUCUUUUGUCAGGGAACAAAGGCGGGGACGUGUCCCCGGAUGAGUGUACCUGAAGAAAAAGCAUCGGCUAACUCCGUGCCAGCAGCCGCGGUAAUACGGAGGAUGCGAGCGUUAUCCGGAUUUAUUGGGUUUAAAGGGUGCGCAGGCGGUCUGUUAAGUCAGCGGUCAAAGCCCGGGGCUCAACCCCGGCCCGCCGUUGAAACUGGCAGG